UUGCACGGUUGGAUUAGUGGCGAACGGGUGAGUAUCACGUGAGUAACCUUCCCUUAACUCUGGGAUAAGCCCGGGAAACUGGGUCUAAUACCGGAUACGACCAGUCCUCGCAUGGGGUGCUGGUGGAAAGAUUUAUCGGUUUUGGAUGGACUCGCGGCCUAUCAGCUUGUUGGUGAGGUAAAGGCUCACCAAGGCGAUGACGGGUAGCCGGCCUGAGAGGGUGACCGGCCACACUGGGACUGAGACACGGCCCAGACUCCUACGGGAGGCAGCAGUGGGGAAUAUUGCACAAUGGGCGAAAGCCUGAUGCAGCGACGCCGCGUGCGGGAUGACGGCCUUCGGGUUGUAAACCGCUUUCAGCAGGGAAGAAGCGCAAGUGACGGUACCUGCAGAAGAAGCGCCGGCUAACUACGUGCCAGCAGCCGCGGUAAUACGUAGGGCGCGAGCGUUAUCCGGAAUUAUUGGGCGUAAAGAGCUCGUAGGCGGUUUGUCACGUCUGCUGUGAAAGCCCGGGGCUCAACCCCGGGUGUGCAGUGGGUACGGGCAGACUAGAGUGCAGUAGGGGAGACUGGAAUUCCUGGUGUAGCGGUGAAAUGCGCAGAUAUCAGGAGGAACACCGAUGGCGAAGGCAGGUCUCUGGGCUGUUACUGACGCUGAGGAGCGAAAGCAUGGGGAGCGAACAGGAUUAGAUACCCUGGUAGUCCAUGCCGUAAACGUUGGGCACUAGGUGUGGGGGACAUUCCACGUUUUCCGCGCCGUAGCUAACGCAUUAAGUGCCCCGCCUGGGGAGUACGGCCGCAAGGCUAAAACUCAAAGGAAUUGACGGGGGCCCGCACAAGCGGCGGAGCAUGCGGAUUAAUUCGAUGCAACGCGAAGAACCUUACCAAGGCUUGACAUGGACCGGACCGCUGCAGAGAUGCAGUUUCCCUUCGGGGUCGGUUCACAGGUGGUGCAUGGUUGUCGUCAGCUCGUGUCGUGAGAUGUUGGGUUAAGUCCCGCAACGAGCGCAACCCCUAUCCUAUGUUGCCAGCACGUUAUGGUGGGGACUCAUGGGAGACUGCCGGGGUCAACUCGGAGGAAGGUGGGGACGACGUCAAAUCAUCAUGCCCCUUAUGUCUUGGGCUUCACGCAUGCUACAAUGGCCGGUACAAUGGGUUGCGAUACUGUGAGGUGGAGCUAAUCCCUAAAAGCCGGUCUCAGUUCGGAUCGAAGUCUGCAACUCGACUUCGUGAAGUUGGAGUCGCUAGUAAUCGCAGAUCAGCAA
rnacentral:rRNA from 1 species